rnacentral:rRNA from 1 species
UAGUAGUUUUGGAAUCUGGCUCAAGAUUGAACGCUGGCGGCAUGCCUUUACACAUGCAAGUCGAACGGCAGCACGGAGCUUGCUCUGGUGGCGAGUGGCGAACGGGUGAGUAAUAAUAUCGGAACGUACCCUAGAGUGGGGGAUAACGUAGCGAAAGUUACGCUAAUACCGCAUACGAUCUAAGGAUGAAAGUGGGGGAUCGCAAGACCUCAUGCUCGUGGAGCGGCCGAUAUCUGAUUAGCUAGUUGGUAGGGUAAAAGCCUACCAAGGCAUCGAUCAGUAGCUGGUCUGAGAGGACGACCAGCCACACUGGAACUGAGACACGGUCCAGACUCCUACGGGAGGCAGCAGUGGGGAAUUUUGGACAAUGGGCGAAAGCCUGAUCCAGCAAUGCCGCGUGAGUGAAGAAGGCCUUCGGGUUGUAAAGCUCUUUUGUCAGGGAAGAAACGGUGAGGGCUAAUAUCCUUUGCUAAUGACGGUACCUGAAGAAUAAGCACCGGCUAACUACGUGCCAGCAGCCGCGGUAAUACGUAGGGUGCAAGCGUUAAUCGGAAUUACUGGGCGUAAAGCGUGCGCAGGCGGUUUUGUAAGUCUGAUGUGAAAUCCCCGGGCUCAACCUGGGAAUUGCAUUGGAGACUGCAAGGCUAGAAUCUGGCAGAGGGGGGUAGAAUUCCACGUGUAGCAGUGAAAUGCGUAGAUAUGUGGAGGAACACCGAUGGCGAAGGCAGCCCCCUGGGUCAAGAUUGACGCUCAUGCACGAAAGCGUGGGGAGCAAACAGGAUUAGAUACCCUGGUAGUCCACGCCCUAAACGAUGUCUACUAGUUGUCGGGUCUUAAUUGACUUGGUAACGCAGCUAACGCGUGAAGUAGACCGCCUGGGGAGUACGGUCGCAAGAUUAAAACUCAAAGGAAUUGACGGGGACCCGCACAAGCGGUGGAUGAUGUGGAUUAAUUCGAUGCAACGCGAAAAACCUUACCUACCCUUGACAUGGCUGGAAUCCCCGAGAGAUUGGGAUCUCGAACGAAUACCC